UACGUAGGGGGCAAGCGUUGUCCGGAUUUAUUGGGCGUAAAGAGCGUGUAGGCGGCUAGAUAGGUCCGUUGUGAAAACUCGAGGCUCAACCUCGAGACGUCGGUGGAAACCGUUUGGCUAGAGUCCGGAAGAGGAGAGUGGAAUUCCCGGUGUAGCGGUGAAAUGCGCAGAUAUCGGGAAGAACACCCGUGGCGAAGGCGGCUCUCUGGGACGGUACUGACGCUGAGACGCGAAAGCGUGGGGAGCAAACGGGG
rnacentral:rRNA from 1 species